rnacentral:rRNA from 1 species
GUCAAUCAAUCAUUUGCGGCCCCAAGUCAGGCGAGACCACCCGCCGAGUUUAA